rnacentral:ncRNA from 1 species
UUUUUAUGGAUAGUUUGGUUCUGGUUAUAUUUUAAUGCUUACUAGAUGAUUAUACAUGAUUAGUUAUUUUACUGUGAGUUUUAUAACAACUGUAAUAAUUUGAACUAAAUGUUAUUUUAUACAGCUGUUUAAUCGGCAUUAAAUAAUAUUUAUUAUGCUUAGGCACACACCCACAACAUCAGUAUAGAAUACUAACAUAUGAGUUAAUGCUUGACCUGGUUAUAGUAAUUUAGAAUUAGUUAAUAAUUGUGCCAGCAACUGCGGUUAUACAAUAUAAUUCAAGUUAAAAUGAUUAGCUAAAAAGAAUGGUUAUUAGAACUAAUACACCUUAAAAAAUUGUAUGUAGAAGAAAUUAUAUUUUAUGGGUCCAAUCAAUAAAUUAUUUAUAAUACUUAUAUCUGCAUAAUUUAUAAACUAAGACGCCAUGAAAUAUUAUUCAAGAACUAGGAUUAGAGACCCUAUUACUUUUUGUGUAAAAUUUUUAAUGCUAGGGUAUUACGAAUCUUUUAUUUAAAACUCAAAGGACUUGGCGGUAUUUUAAUUCUUUCCAGGGGAACCUGUUCUGUAACCGAUAAUCCACGUUAAAUCUGGCUUCUUUUUGUAAUUAGUUUCAGCCUGUAUACCGCCGUUAAAUAGUCUACUCUUAAGGAAUCAGUAGUAGGCACAUAUUAGUAUUAAUUUUAUUAUUUGCUACUAGUUCAGGUCGUGGUGCAGCUUAUAAAGGAGGUAUGAAAUGGGUUACAUUUAUAAUUAUUUAUAAUGGAUUAGCGAUUGAAAUUAUGGCUAUGAAAUAGGACUUGGUAGUAAAAUUAUAUUAGUAAGUUAAUUUGAAUUAAGUGAUAAAAUGCGUACAAAUCGCCCGUCGCUCUCGUUUAUACACAAUAAAUGAGAUAAGUCGUAACAUAGUGAAGGUAGCGGAAGCUGCUUUCGUUUUAUGAAUUU